UACAGAGGUCCCGAGCGUUGUUCGGAUUCACUGGGCGUAAAGGGUGCGUAGGUGGUGAGGUAAGUCGGAUGUGAAAUCUCCAGGCUCAACCUGGAAACGGCAUUGGAAACUACCUUGCUAGAGGUUUUGAGGGGGGACUGGAAUUCUUGGUGUAGCGGUGAAAUGCGUAGAUAUCGGGAGGAACACCUGAGGCGAAGGCGGGCUACUGGGCCGAUACUGACGCUGAUGCGCGAAAGCCAGGGGAGCGAACGGG
rnacentral:rRNA from 1 species